AUGCGUAGAUAUCAGGAGGAACAUCGGUGGCGUAAGCGCUUUACUGGGCCGACAUUGACACUGAGGAACGAAAGCCGGGGUAGCAAAUGGGAUUAGAUACCCCAGUAGUCCCGGCCGUAAACGAUGGAUACUAGGUGUUGCGGGUAUCGACCCCUGCAGUGCCGGAGCUAACGCGUUAAGUAUCCCGCCUGGGGAGUACGCACGCAAGUGUGAAACUCAAAGGAAUUGACGGGGACCCGCACAAGCGGUGGAACAUGUGGUUUAAUUCGAAGCAACGCGAAGAACCUUACCAGGGCUUGACAUCUAACAAAUCUUUGAGAAAUCAGAGAGUGCUCUUCGGAGAAUGUUAAGACAGGUGGUGCACGGUUGUCGUCAGCUCGUGUCGUGAGAUGUUGGGUUAAGUCCCGCAACGAGCGCAACCCUCGUCGUUAGUUGGAUAUAUCGGUAUACUGGUAUAUUCCUCUCUAGCGAGACUGCCGGUGAUAAACCGGAGGAAGGUGGGGACGACGUCAAAUCAUCAUGCCCCUUAUGCUCUGGGCUACACACGUGUUACAAUGGCUGGUACAACGAGCAGCCAACUCGCGAGAGUGAGCAAAUCUCUAAAAACCAGUCUCAGUUCGGAUUGCACUCUGCAACUCGAGUGCAUGAAGUCGGAAUCGCUAGUAAACGCAGAUCAGCACGCUGCGUUGAAUACGUUCCCGGGCCUUGUACACACCGCCCGUCACACCAUGGAAGUCGACCACGCCCGAAGUACGUGAGCUAACCUUUUGGAAGCAGCGUCCUAAGGCAGGGUUGGUGACUGGGGUGAAGUCGUAACAAGGUAGCCGUACCGGAAGGUGUGGCUG
rnacentral:rRNA from 1 species